rnacentral:misc_RNA from 1 species
GUAUUUUGUUGCGUCAAACGCGGCAUGCAUUCCAUGAGACUAUUACGGCGUGUGUGUAAUGACGUAGAACCACAGCAGGAAGACGGGGUGGUCUCCCAAACCAUAGAACUACAGAGGGUGCACAGGUGUGAGUGGAUGUGUAAACAGAGCGUGCACGUGCCCUCGUUUGAAGACCAGCAACAACUCGUGUCGACGAUUCGGUAAUGAUCCUUCCGCAGGUUCACCUACGGAAA